rnacentral:rRNA from 1 species
UUAACACAUGCAAGUCGAACGAGGCUUGUCGACGGAAAUUUCGGAUGGAAGACGGCAUGACCGAGUGGCGGACGGGUGAGUAACGCGUGGGGAACCGUGCCCAUUCCGGGGGAUACCAGUUGGAAACGACUGUUAAUACCGCAUAAGCGCACGGGAAGGCAUCUUCCAGUGUGAAAAACUGAGGUGGAAUGGGAUGGCCCCGCGUCUGAUUAGCCAGUUGGCAGGGUAACGGCCUACCAAAGCGACGAUCAGUAGCCGGCCUGAGAGGGCGACCGGCCACAUUGGGACUGAGACACGGCCCAAACUCCUACGGGAGGCAGCAGUGGGGAAUAUUGCACAAUGGGGGGAACCCUGAUGCAAGCGACGCCGCGUGAGUGAGGAAGUAUUUCGGUAUGUAAAGCUCUAUCAGCAGGGAAGAAGAUGACGGUACCUGCACAAGAAGCCCCGGCUAACUACGUGCCAGCCGCGGC